rnacentral:ncRNA from 1 species
UAUAAAUCGUUGAGAGGAAGCAGUAGCAAGCAGUCAUCUGCUCAGAGAGCCGGUGGUGGGUGAGAACCGGUCGGAGGCACUUGUGAAUCCAUCCUCGAGAGAAAUGCUGAACGGUUUUUCUAGUAAGCAUUUCCGGCAGAAGCCGUUAUACGUUCAAGUGGAAAGCCAAAAGCUUUCAACUAGGGUGGCAACGCGGGUAAAACUCGUCCCUUUU